CCGGUAAGUAAGAAACAGAAACAGCUUUUAAACUAUUUAGGAGACUGUCUUUGGUCAAACUUGAAUAAUGAACAUCCUUCUUAUUAAGAUGCUGCUUCCUCAUUGGUUUAUGUUGAAACACAAGUGUAAUUUCCUGUCCCCUCACAGUGUUGGUUUCUCAUCUCAGUGCAAGCAGAUUUAUCUGGCUCCUCGGUCGACAAAAUCAUCUCCUCAAGAAACAUGGGAUCCAGAGUCUGCUGGAGGAGACCCACUUUCUGUUGUUAUCAUGUCCUUCAGAUGAGUAGAGGGUGCGGAGUGAGGAAAAGGAGAAGAGGAAUCAUGCCUUGAUGCAUUGAAUUGUGUGGGAUAGUCUCCGAAGCACAUAAUCAAAAGCGCUGAAAUUCUGCCUCUGUAUGGACUUAUGAUUCCUGGUGGUUAAGGACCACCCAAAAGAAAAAUUUCUGAAGUUCUCCAAACGUAAACUUCUGCAUAUGUCCCUACUUAUCACUACUCUGAUUGAAGUGACAUCAAGGCAUACUGUAUACCUCAGCCAUGGGCUAGUGGGAACAGAAAAGAAGCAAGCACUGUGAAAUGAAAGGAACUGAUUGUGUUGUAGGAAUCAAGAGACCUCUAACAAGAGAAGAGAAGCCACAGCCAGCAACUAAGACACAGCCCCUAGAGGAACAUAAUGAACACAGGGAAGAUUUCAACCAGCAUUAAAUCCUGCUGGGAAAAAGCUCCCAGAAAGUAUGACAAUUGACAUUCAGAAAGCCAACAGGACAGUGAAUCCAGGUGGUCUCCUGUUUGAAGGGGACUGCCCCAGUGAGUGUCUGAGGACAUGCCAAUCGUUGUCUACCCUCCCAGAAGAAUUAAAAUAUCUGAGAAAAUUAUUAGCUGGCCAGGCAAGCCUCAGGGUCAGGGCAAGAUUUUGAUCCCAGCAAGAAGAUGUGGGGAGCUCAUCAUGAGUCCAGGAUGGUGUCUGUCUUUGGUGACCUUUGCCCUGGUUUGUUGGCCAUUUGAGAUAUCCCUAUUCACAAGACCUCACUAAAGGCCAUGUGUUUUGACUUCCCUCUCAUUCUUGGUUGCCUAAAACAAGAGUAACAGCCCUAACUCCCCGCCUUUAAAAGUAAAGGAGAUGUAUUAAUUUGGGCCAAACAAGAGACAUUUGCUGUAGGAAUUUUUAUCAUCGGGUAAAGUCAAAUAUAGGGAUGAGUUGGCCAAUCCUGUCUCUUAGAACCAAGGUUAAGUUUUCUGCAGAAUAAGAAAAAAAAAAAAAAAAAAACAACUGAAUCCUCAAUCAAGAAAUUCCAAUUACAAAAAAAUGAAAGUUUCAUCUUAUGGUUCCUACAAAACCAGGGACUUCUCAUCAAGAUGCCCAAUGACCUUCAUCCACUGUCUUUACUGGGCACACAUUGCUAUGGUUCUUCCAAAUGCUAAGUUUUUCUGUUUUGGGGAUUCAGGAGAAUAUUUCCCAUGCUUUUCCCAUACCAUCAAAAAAAAGUUUAACUCAAUCUAAGAGCAAUUUAAAAUAUUGUGUUAGUAAUGAGAAAUCUGACUAGCUCUAGAAGAAAAAAUAUAAAAUCAACAUAAGCCAGAUUUUAGGGGUCGAAUUUGAAAUUAAUACAAACAAACCAAAAAAAAAAAAAAAAAAACCAAUCCUUUUAAACUAGAAGUUGGGUAUUAGAAGCUGGCUUCUUUCAAAAAAAAAAAAAAAAAAAGGCAACUUAAGCAUAGCUUCCAGAAAGGCUCUAACGUCCUCUGUGUAAUAGCGCCCUCUGGCUUUAGAUUACUUAACAAUGUAUUUGGCUUUGAGCCUCAGGUUUUGUUGAAAGUCCAUGACUGUGCUGGAAAGACAACCCAGGAAUCCUCACAUCUGAAACCCUGCUCAUCUGUUUCUCCUGCAUCUGCCUUCACAAAGAGGAAGUAUGACUCAAGCAAUGCUUCGUCUUCUGUGUAAGAAAGGGCUGUCAAAGAACAGUGCCAAUAAGUCCUUGGGGAUCUUAGCAAUGCCUUACUAUUCUUUGGAAAGUACUCUCUUGAGACUUUAACGUGGAGCUGCCAGCAUACACCAAGGAAAAUGGUCUUCAGGUUGAGAUAUGGCCAGCUAGAACAAAUUGUGGGAAAGGAAGAGACCCAUCCAAGACCAUUAGCAUAAAUGAUUAUUGAUCUGUCAUUCAUGAAGGAAGCUGUUGAGGCUUCCUUAUUUCUUGUUUGUCUGUGCUUAAUUUUAAGACUCCUAAAGUGACCUCUAAAAAGAAAGAAAAUAUUCUUGGAUCAAAUGAAACAAAACCUUGCUUGUUUUUGAGUCUUAAUAUGAAUACAGAUAAUCAAAGAGUUUCUGGAUUCUUCUUGGGGGUUUUAAAUGGAAAGGGUCAGAAAAGUUCCCAAAGGCAUCAUUGGCUUUGGUUGUCCAUAAGAGCUCAAUCUGAUCUUUUUGACCCUUCAAUCUGAGUCUUCCCAUAGAGAAAUCAGGCUCAGCAAGAAUUAGAUUAUUCAUCCCAAUGGAGAGUAAGGAAACCACGUAGGUCCAUGGAGAAGGGCUAAAAACUAUCUUGCAAAAAACUCCAGCCAGAGCCCAAAG
ensembl:lncRNA